GUGCUCCCUUCGACAGCACAUAAAAUUGGAAUGGUACAGAGAUUAGCAUGGCCCCUGCACAAGGAUGACACACAAAUUCGUGAAGCGUUCCAUAUAUUC
ensembl:snRNA U6 U6 spliceosomal RNA